GACGAACGCUGGCGGCGUGCUUAACACAUGCAAGUCGAACGGAAAGGCCCCUUCGGGGGUACUCGAGUGGCGAACGGGUGAGUAACACGUGAGUAACCUGCCCUUGACUUCGGGAUAACUUCAGGAAACUGGGGCUAAUACCGGAUAGGAAUCCUUGCUGCAUGGUGGGGGUUGGAAAGCUUCGGCGGUUUUGGAUGGACUCGCGGCUUAUCAGCUUGUUGGUGGGGUAGUGGCUUACCAAGGCCUUGACGGGUAGCCGGCCUGAGAGGGCGACCGGCCACAUUGGGACUGAGAUACGGCCCAGACUCCUACGGGAGGCAGCAGGGGGGAAGAUUGCACAAUGGGCGGAAGCCUGAUGCAGCAACGCCGCGUGCGGGAUGACGGCCUUCGGGUUGUAAACCGCUUUCAGCAGGGGCGAAGCUUGUGGUGACGGUGCCUGCAGAAGACGCACCGGCUAACUACGUG
rnacentral:rRNA from 1 species